UACGGAGGGUGCAAGCGUUAUCCGGAUUCACUGGGUUUAAAGGGUGCGUAGGUGGGUCUGUAAGUCAGUGGUGAAAUCUCCGUGCUUAACAUGGAAACUGCCAUUGAUACUAUAGGUCUUGAAUUUUCUGGAGGUAAGCGGAAUAUGUCAUGUAGCGGUGAAAUGCUUAGAUAUGACAUAGAACACCAAUUGCGAAGGCAGCUUACUACGGGAACAUUGACACUGAGGCACGAAAGCGUGGGGAUCAAACAGG
rnacentral:rRNA from 1 species